GAAAUACUCUCUCCGUUUGGAAUUACUUGUCUCGAAAAUGGAUGUAUCUAGAAUUAAAAUACGUCUAGAUACAUCCAUUUCUGCGACAAGUAAUUUCGAACGGAGGGAGUAUGUC
rnacentral:pre_miRNA from 1 species